rnacentral:rRNA from 1 species
UACGAAGGGGGCUAGCGUUGCUCGGAAUCACUGGGCGUAAAGCGCACGUAGGCGGAUUGCUAAGUCAGGGGUGAAAUCCUGGGGCUCAACCUCAGAAUUGCCUCCGAUACUGGCAGUCUCGAGUGCGGGAGAGGUGAGUGGAAUUCCCAGUGUAGAGGUGAAAUUCGUAGAUAUUGGGAAGAACACCAGUGGCGAAGGCGGCUCACUGGCCCGUAACUGACGCUGAGGUGCGAAAGCGUGGGGAGCAAACAGG